rnacentral:tRNA from 1 species
GGGAUGUGGCGGAAUCGGCAGACGCAUCGGACUUAAAAUCCGGUGGUGGCAACACCGUGUGGGUUCAAGUCCCAUCGUCCCC